rnacentral:rRNA from 1 species
CCUACGGGCGGCAGCAGUGAGGAAUAUUGGUCAAUGGGCGAGAGCCUGAACCAGCCAAGUCGCGUGAGGGAGUACUGCCCUAUGGGUUGUAAACCUCUUUUGUCGGGGAGCAAAAGCCGGACGUGUCCGGCUGUGAGAGUACCCGAAGAAAAAGCAUCGGCUAACUCCGUGCCAGCAGCCGCGGUAAUACGGAGGAUGCGAGCGUUAUCCGGAUGUAUUGGGUUUAAAGGGUGCGCAGGCGGAUUUUUAAGUCAGCGGUAAAAUCGUGGGGCUCAACCCCAUCCAGCCGUUGAAACUGGGGAUCUAGAGUGUGCGAGAGGUAUGCGGAAUGCGUGGUGUAGCGGUGAAAUGCAUAGAUAUCACGCAGAACCCCGAUUGCGAAGGCAGCAUACCGGUGCACAACUGACGCUCAGGCACGAAAGCGUGGGUAUCGAACAGGAUUAGAUACCCGAGUAGUC